rnacentral:rRNA from 1 species
UGGGGAAUCUUGCACAAUGGGGGAAACCCUGAUGCAGCGACGCCGCGUGAGCGAUGAAGGUUUUCGAAUCGUAAAGCUCUGUCCUAUGGGAAGAUAAUGACGGUACCAUGGGAGGAAGCCCCGGCUAACUACGUGCCAGCAGCGGCCGUAAUACGUAGGGGGCGAGCGUUGUCCGGAAUUACUGGGCGUAAAGGGUUCGCAGGCGGCAUGGCAAGUCCGAUGUAAAAGGCGAAGUCUCAACCUUCGUAGGCAUCGGAAACUGUCAAGCUUGAGAGAAGGGGAGGAAAGUGGAAUUCCUAGUGUAGCGAUGGAAUGCGUAGAAAUUAGGAGGAAAACCGGUGGCAAAGGCGACUUGCUGGACUUAAACUGACGCUGAGGAACGAAAGCGUGGGUAGCAAACAGG